UACGAAGGGGGCUAGCGUUGCUCGGAAUCACUGGGCGUAAAGCGCACGUAGGCGGACUCUUAAGUCAGGGGUGAAAUCCUGGAGCUCAACUCCAGAACUGCCUUUGAUACUGGGAGUCUUGAGUUCGGGAGAGGUGAGUGGAACUGCGAGUGUAGAGGUGAAAUUCGUAGAUAUUCGCAAGAACACCAGUGGCGAAGGCGGCUCACUGGCUCGUAUCUGACGCUCAGGCGCGACAGCGUGGGGAUCAAACAGG
rnacentral:rRNA from 1 species